rnacentral:rRNA from 1 species
CCUACGGGUGGCAGCAGUGGGGAAUAUUGCUCAAUGGGGGAAACCCUGAUGCAGCGACGCCGCGUGAGUGAAGAAGUCCUUCUUUAUGUAAAGCUCUUUCAGUAGGGAAGAAAAUGACGGUACCUGAGUAAUCAUCCCCGGCUAACUACGUUCCAGCAGCCGCGGUACUACGUAGGGGGCAAGCGUUAUCCGGAUUUACUGGGUGUAAAGGGAGCGUAGACGGUAGUGCAAGUCUGGAGUGAAAGGCGGGGGCUCAACCCUCGGACUGCACUGGAAACUGUGAGGCUGGAGUGCAGGAGAGGUAGGUGGAAUUCCUGGUGUAGCGGUGAAAUGCGUAGAUAUUAGGAGGAACACCAGUGGCGAAGGCGGCUUACUGGACUGUAACUGACGUUGAGGCUCGAAAGCGUGGGGAGCAAACAGGAUUAGAUACCCGUGUAGUC